GACGAACGCUGGCGGCGCGAUUAACACAUGCAAGUCGAGCGAAGCGGCGGACGGGUGAGUAACACGUGAGUAACCUGCCUUUUACACAGGGAUAGCCUCGGGAAACCGGGAUUAAAACCUGAUGGGAAAAGAUGGACUCGCGUCCCCUUAGCUAGUUGGGGAGGUAACGUCCCACCAAGGCAACGAUGGGUAGCCGGCCGGCGAGGGUGAACGGGCACAUUGGAAAUGAGAAACUGUCCAAACUCUACGGGAGGCAGCAGUGGGGAAUAUUGCACAAGGGGGGAAACCCUGAUGCAGCGACGCCUCGUGAGCGAAGAAGGCCUUCGGGUUGUAAAGCUCUUUUAUAUGGGAAGCGGUACCAUAAGAAAAAGCCCCGGCUAACUACGUGCCAGCAGCCGCGGUAAUAC
rnacentral:rRNA from 1 species